ACCUGGGUAGCUCAGUUGGUUGAGCGUCUGACUUUGGCUCAGGUCAUGAUCUCAUCGUUCGUGGGUUCGAACCCUGCGUCGGGCU
rnacentral:tRNA from 1 species